GAGCUCGCUUCGGCAGCACAUAUACUAAAAAUUGGAAUGAUACAGAGAAGAUUAGCAUGGCCCCUGUGCAAGGAUGACACACAAGUAUUCUUUUUGUUUUUAAUUUAA
rnacentral:snRNA from 1 species